rnacentral:rRNA from 1 species
UACGUAGGUGGCAAGCGUUGUCCGGAAUUAUUGGGCGUAAAGCGCGCGCAGGCGGUCUUUUAAGUCUGAUGUGAAAGCCCACGGCUCAACCGUGGAGGGUCAUUGGAAACUGGGAGACUUGAGUGCAGAAGAGAAGAGUGGAAUUCCACGUGUAGCGGUGAAAUGCGUAGAGAUGUGGAGGAACACCAGUGGCGAAGGCGACUCUUUGGUCUGUAACUGACGCUGAGGCGACGAAAGCGUGGGGAGCAAACAGGG